rnacentral:rRNA from 1 species
UACAGAGGGGGCAAGCGUUGUUCGGAAUUACUGGGCGUAAAGGGCGCGUAGGCGGCCUUCUAAGUCAGACGUGAAAUCCCCGGGCUCAACCCGGGAACUGCGUCUGAUACUGGAGGGCUUGAAUCCGGGAGAGGGAUGUGGAAUUCCAGGUGUAGCGGUGAAAUGCGUAGAUAUCUGGAGGAACACCGGUGGCGAAGGCGGCAUCCUGGACCGGUAUUGACGCUGAGGCGCGAAAGCCAGGGGAGCAAACAGG